rnacentral:rRNA from 1 species
GAUGAACGCUGGCGGCGUGCUUAACACAUGCAAGUCGAACGGAAAGGCCCAAGCUUGCUUGGGUACUCGAGUGGCGAACGGGUGAGUAACACGUGGGUGAUCUGCCCUGCACUUCGGGAUAAGCCUGGGAAACUGGGUCUAAUACCGGAUAGGACCACAUUUUGGAUGGUGUGGUGGAAAGUUUUUCGGUGUGGGAUGAGCUCGCGGCCUAUCAGCUUGUUGGUGGGGUAAUGGCCUACCAAGGCGUCGACGGGUAACCGGCCUGAGAGGGUGUACGGCCACAUUGGGACUGAGAUACGGCCCAGACUCCUACGGGAGGCAGCAGUGGGGAAUAUUGCACAAUGGGCGCAAGCCUGAUGCAGCGACGCCGCGUGGGGGAUGACGGCCUUCGGGUUGUAAACUCCUUUCGCUAGGGACGAAGCGUUUUUGUGACGGUACCUGGAGAAGAAGCACCGGCUAACUACGUG